GUCAAGGUCACAGUGACCCGAAAUAGUAAAAUGGUUUCCGGAUGAUAACUCAAGAACGCUUAGGCCUAGGAUCAUGAAACUUGAUAGGUAGAAUGAUCAUGACUCGCAGAUGACCCCUAUUGAUUUUCAGGUCACUAGGUCAAAGGUCAAGGUCACGGUGACCCGAAAUAGUAAAAUGGUGUCCGGAUGAUAACUCAAGAAUGCUUAUGGCUAGGAUCAUGAAACUUCAUAGGUACAUUGAUCAUGACUGGCAGAUGACCCCUAUUGAUUUUCCGGUCACUAGGUCAAAGGUCAAGGUCACAGUGACAAAAAACAUAUUCACACAAUGGCUCUCACUACAACAGAGAGCCCAUAUGGGGGGCAUGCAUGUUUUACAAACAGCCCUUGUGUUAAUGUUAUGUCUUGGAAUGAAAUUAAUGUUACUUGAUGUUAAUAAAGAAGUCAUUAUGA